rnacentral:rRNA from 1 species
UGGCUGGCUGGCUGGCUUGGUUGUUUCGAGGGGUCAGGGCAGAAGACAAGCAGAGGUCGCCUCGCCGCCACGUCGGUGAGGCCGCCCGCCGCCGCAACGUGGCGCUGAGGUCGCCGAGGCCUCCACGCCUCUCGGGUCGGUGGUCCUUCGUUGGCGUGCGCCGAGCCGAUGAGGCCGUCAUGCCCGCGGCGAUAAGGAGGUCGUGGGGCCCGGGCCUCCGCUUAGACCGUUCGUGUCCACGGCGUGGAGGCCGCUGAUCGCACGUGUUUCCCUGAGGGAGACUGACGUACAGGUCUGAGGUCUUACACCUUCUCUUUUCAAGUAGGACUUCGUCAGCCGCUGUAGAGACUUGGGCCCGUUUAUAAGUCACCUUACGGGUUCCUUACCGUUCCUAUCCUUAAAACGAAGAGACAAGAAAUUACAAGUCUAAGUUCAUCAUACAGUAUACUAAAAGGACUACAGACGAAGUUCGUUGAAUGACUUAAGUCAAACAAAGCUGUCGGCUGUCCACUUUAUGACCGCAAAGAAGUAGACCGACCUGUUCAUGAACCUGUACCAGCUUCUUCAAACCUACUAUUUACACGAGUAGUACCCGUUACCCCGACGAGCAUCGAACAGUGUUCUUUACGUCGCUGCGAGUUUAACUACGAUAAUCCCAAUUCUACGUCGUGACCUAGCUGGGUUUUACGCUUCGAAGUCUAAGAACUACUAGGGUAAGUAAACUGUUCGGCUUUCUACACUCACGAGAUUUUAACUACUUACGAAGGCUACUACCUCACUAAGGGACUAUAGUAGAAUGUAAAACAAUGUCUCUAAUUAGGAAAGAAGUACAAGUACUACAGAGUGAAGAAAAAUGUACUACUUCACCUUUCUUUAUAAGGGUUUAUGUCUUAAUCGCGCCAGUGGUGUCAAACUUCGUCUCCAAGAUACAAUGGGUUUCGGUUUCUAAGAAACACUAAUAAACAGUACCUCUGUUCGUUUUAGAAACACAAGGUCCUCUUGCGACUUAAUAUAGUCUCUCUACUCUCUAAUUAGUAAAGAAGUACAAGUAGUACAGAGUGAACAAAAAUGAACUACUUCACCUUUCUUAUAAAAGGUUUAUUUCUUAAUCACGUCGGUGGUGUCAAACUUCGUCUCCAAGAUAUAAUGGGUUUCGGUUUAUAAGAAAUACUAAUAAACAGUACCUCUGUUCGUCUUACGGUGUUGUCUUCGGUCAUGUUGUGUACGAAAACCUAUGAUCACUUCAGGCCUUUUCCACUUCCACUUCUGUUUCGAGUACUCUAUGACUUCCCUUGUAAUAGUUGCCUGUUCUUGCUAAACAAAAAGUCGCCAAAGCCUACUUGAUGUUGUUGCUGGACCUCUACAAGGUCUUCCCAAGCACAUGAAUGGUCGUUUUUCAUAAUACAGGUAGAUAGUAGGAUCUCUACAAAAAGUUGUUACUUAAUCUUCAUGACGAUACUACUCUUCUUCUACUAAGAGCAUCAAACGUGGUCAAAUGUAGUGCCUUCAGUCAGAACGCGAGCACCAUUUAAACGUUAAAGGCUAGACUUGCCUAGCUGGCUGGCUGGCUGGCUUGGUCGAGGGGACAGAGCAGGAGACAAGGAGAGGUGAGGCCGCCUGCCGCCGCAACGUGCCGCUUAGGUCGCCGAGGCCGCCGCGCCUCUGGGGUCGGUGGUCCUUCGUUGGCGUCCGCCGAGCCGAUGAGGCCGUAAUGACACUGGCGAUAAGGGGGUCGUGGUACCCGGGCCCCCGCUUAGACCGUUCGUGCCCACGGCGUGGAGGCCGCUGAUCCCUGAGGGAGACUGACCAACAGGUUUACACCUUGUCUUCUCAAGUAGGACUUCGUCAGUUGCUGUAGAGACUUAGGCCCGUUUAUAAGGCACCUUACGGGUUCCUUACCGUUCCUAUACUUCCUCUUUCUGACACCGCAAAGAAGUACACCGACCUGUACCAGCUCCUUUAAACCUAUUAUUUACACGAGUAGUACCCGUUACGCCGACGAGCAUCGAAGAGUGUUCUUUACGUCGCUGUGCAACUACGAUACUCCCGACUUCAACUACGAUGCUCUCGAGUUUAACUACGAUAAUCCCAACUCUAACGUCGUGACCUAGCUACGUAGUUCUUCAACCGACGGGUUUUACGUUUCGAAGUCGAAACACAAGGACCUAUUGUGACUUAAUAUAGUCUCUCUACUCUCUAAUUUGGAAAGAAGUACAAGUACAGAGUGAAUAAGAAUGUACGACCUGACCUUUCAUUUAUUUCUUGAUCUCAAACUCCGUCUCCGAUACAAUGGGUUUCGGCUUCUAAGAAACACUAAUAAACAGUACCUCUGUACGUCUUACGGCGUUGUCUUUGGUCAUGCUUGUACGAAAACCUACGAUCACUUCAGGCCUUUUCCGCUUAUGCCUCGAGUACUCUAUGACUUCGCCAAAGCCUACUUGAUGUUGUUGCUGGGCCUCUACAAGGUCUUCCCAAGCACAUGAACGGUCGCUUUCCAUAAGACAGGUAGAUAGUAGGCUCUCUACAAAAAGUUGUUGUUACUCUUCAUGACGAUACUACUCUUCUUCUACUAAGAGCAUCGAACGUGGUCAAAGAGGCGAUUACCAGAUGUCACGUCCACCAGGUUUGGUGUUGGAGCUUGAACGAAUUGGCAGAUUUAGUGGGGGAUUGGACGAAUCUGGCUAAAACUAGAGCCAAGAGAAAAGAAGAAAGAGGAGAGGGAGAUAGAGGGAGAGGACAAAACAAAGGAAGAGAGAGGGUCGGUACUAAGAGAGGUCGCGUACGGGAUCAAUUCUCCGUUGAACGACGGCGACCACGAGUAUGUAGGCAGGCCGGGAGUGCCGCCGUGAAGGAGUGGAGACCUCGGUUGAGGCCGCCGCUCGGUAUCCGUUCUCUAACGUCUUAGCCACUGCACAACCUACAGUACACCUCAACAAACUUCUUUUGACCUGAUUUUUGGUCAAAUUUACCCAAGUAAUCCCACCCCACUAAAACCCAAAUCGCUCAAACUCAGACUUCCCGAAAAAAAAACGGGGGGAGCGGGGACUGUGAAAGGAAGGGAGCGGGGGCACAGCGGAUUGGGAUCCACUGUACCCGCCGAAAGGGGUGUUGUGCGGCGGUUGGGGAGAUGGGAGGGCGGCGGCGGCUUCCGGUGCAGGUCCGCUUCGGACACAGCACCGCCGCCGCCCCGGAGGGCGGGUACCGACACUACAGCACCGCGGGUGAACCGGGGUUGGUAUGACGGCCCUAGACCUCAACGCGAGGGGCAAGCUGA